rnacentral:lncRNA from 9 species
UUUUUUUUUUUCUUAAGAAGUAAAGGUGAUUUAUAGACAUUUCCAUUUUCUCUUUUCACUGGCGUAAGCACAACACACAAAGUAUAUAGCUACUAUACACACACACACACACACACACACACACACCAUACAUAUAUAUUUUUUUAUAAGAAAUUUUUUUUGUAGCCACAUCACUGGCAUGCAGAAGUUCCCAGGCCAGGGAUCAAACCCUCUCCACAGCUGUAACCUGAGCCACAGCAGUGACAACCCGCUGAGCCAUGAGAGAACUCCUAAGAAAUUUUUAUAGGUAAGAAAUUCUAUCCAGAUGUCUAAGUGAUGUGCUUACCAUCUCUUAACUUACCCUAAACAAAAUGAAAGCUGUUGGUUUGAGCAGAGGCACUGCAUGAUCUGAUUAUAUGUUUUAGUAGCAUUAUUCUGGCUGCUGGAUUGAUGAUCAUUGGGGUGGUUUGGUGGGGAGGAUGAAGCAGGGAAAGAAGUCAGUAAACAAUAAUCAGAGGCGGGGUGGGGGGAACUGAGAGUGGCUCAGAACAGGAUGGUAGCAGUGGAGGUGGUGAGAAGUGGUCAGAUUCUGGACAUACUGUGUAAAAAGAGCUCAUAGGAUUUCCCGACAGGUUGAAGACAAGGGGUGCAUGAAGGAGAAGAGUGAAAGAUCACUCUCAAGUCUAUGACACGAAAACCUGGGAGGACUGAGUUGCCAUUACCUUGCCAUGGGAAACACUGCAGGUGGAGAAGGUUUACAGGGGAAGAUGGGGGAGUUUGAUUUUGGACUUGGUGAUUUGGGUUGACCCUUGUGCAGUUUGCUCAAGGAAAAACUGAGAGUAGGUCAUCCGCUAAGAGUGAGGAUGGAAGAGGCAGUGUUGGAGGUUUGAAGAGAGAAAAUAGGUUGAGAAAGAGAAGGGGUGGACAGGGAUGGGGUGUGAGAGAAAUGAGUCCCUUGAGGAUUUGGACUUAAAAAAUCUGGUGGAAAGAUGUGAAACAGUAUAAACAGAGACACUGGGUGUUCCAGGAUCAGACAAUGUUCAUUCUCUGUGAUCCAGGUACCUGAGUCCACAGGUGGAGUGGCAGCCUUCCCUACCAGUUCCCCGGUGGGUAGGAGAUUAUAUCUGGCAUCACAUGACUACUGUUCAGUCUACCCUCUGCCUCAGUGUAGUACACCAGAAAAUGCCUUCCUUCAUUCUACUCCCAGAUGGAGAUACCCUACCACCCUUUUACCUGAGUUCCAUUUGCCAGGGAGGCUGGACAUUCUACAACAGUUCUGAGCCUCCCCAAGAGCUCCUGGCCUCAUACGGAGAGUGACACCCAGGCUUCUGUCUGCCUGCACUGCUGUGAGCUGCAGAGAUGGCCAACCUGAGUUUCCUAUAGCUUCCCUCUUUCCUGAGCCCCAAAUAGCCCCUGCUUCCUAAUCACCAUUCCCAUCAGCACUCCCCUAAGCAGAGCCACUAAACCUCAAUGAGGAUAAUCUGAGUACCUGAUAAUUAGUGGAAUGCAGCCUGGUGGUGGUGACUAUAAGAGCUAUCUUCCGGGGUCCUGGUUGCCCCACAUAUUCCACCGAGGCCUCCCUUGCUGGAACCUAUGAAAUUAAAAUUUUAGAAACACUUUGGCCAGGAGGGCUGGGGAUUUAAGGAACAGAACCUCACACUCCUGUACCAUCUGGCCCCAAAUAAAGAUGUGCUACAGACUCGAAACCUCCUCUAGGUGUACAUGCUACUCGUUAUCUUCUCCAUGAAGUUCAAGAAGAUUAAAAGGGCCAUGGAGGUGCCUGGGCACCAUCUCCAUUCAACAAACCCCCCUACCCCCACCCCAGUCAGUGGUCAGAUACAGUUGCUUUUCUUUUCUCCUUAUCCUCAUUUGCCAUAAAUAUAGGGAACACACCCCAAACACCUUCCAAAGUGAACAGGUAGCUUCCUGGCAAGAAGUCCUAUAUGUCAAAGAAACCAGCAACGUGUAUUCUUUAAUAGUAGUUUAGUCAUUCAGCACAUAUGGGAUUUUACAAAUACAAUUUUUAGACCACAACCUGCCCACACAAACACACACCUGCCACCCUCCCCCCACCACACACAUACACACACUCACACACACCACAUUUGGAGAGGCAGGCUGACCUUAUUAAUUGGUAGUUUGGUAAUAUGAUCACUCAGGUAAGUCAUUCAGAACAAAGCAAUCUCUUCCAAUAGUUCAGAAGAUAGUUUUAAGUUAUUUAAGGUGAUCAUAUGCUGCUGCACCCCUCAGUCAUUUAGUACAUCUCAUUCAGGCAAAGAAUACUGUGAGAUUGUCCCUUGGCUCUCCUUUCACUCAAGAAAGAGAGCCUCCAAGUGAAAUCUGCCAAGACUCGGCAUUUCUGGAACAGUGCUCAGGAGGGGAGAAUGGAGUCUGACACUUGACUUCUCUCUCCGUUGUGCUCAAGCAAGCAUUUGAUAAAGAUAAAUAGAGUCAGGGCAAUUUAGAAUUCUAUAGCCUGUCAGCUCUCAGAGCUCGGGACUUGAUUGGUUGAUUGUCUUUUUAGGGCCUCACCUGCGGCAUAUGGAAGUUCCCAGGAUAGGUGGGGGUCGAAUGGGAGCUACAGCUGCCAGCCUGUGCCACAGCCACAGCCACGCCAGAUCCGAGCCGGGUCCGCGAACUACACCACAGCUCACGGCAAUGCCGGAUCCUUAACCCACUGAGAGAGGCCAGGGAUCAAAACUGCGUCUUCAUGGAUGCUAGUCAGAUUCCUUUCUGCUGAGCCACGAUGGGAACUCCGAGACUAGGACUUUAAAAGGAGCUAAAACUGCAUCUAAUCAAUAGCUCUGCUCCCCUAAGACACAGGUAAGAGCAGUAUAGCUUAGAGCCUUGGUACUCAAAGUAUGGCCCAUGGAUCGGCCCAUGAAUCAAACUCUGCAUGUGACCUGUGAGCACACUGAAGUUUGAAAAGUCCAGCUCUAACGACUGGUUAAGCGCUGGGGCAUCGACUAGAGCGGUGGUUCUCCAACUCGAGUGCAUGUCCGAAUCACCUGGAAGGUUCCUUAAACCACAGGUGGCUGGGCCCUGACCCCAGUUUCUGAUUCAGUAGGUGUAGGGUAGGGCCUGAGGACUUGCAUUCCAAGCAAGUUCCCAGGUGCUGCUGAUGCUGUUGUUCUGGGAACAACACAUUCAGACUAGAGACAAAGCUAGACUGAAACCAU